rnacentral:rRNA from 1 species
GGGGGGGGGGGGGGGGGGGGCGGGGGGGUGCGGGUCGAGCGAACAGACGAGGAGGUUGCUCCUCUGGCGUUAGCGGCGGGCGGGUGAGUAACACGUGGAUAACCUACCUAUAAGACUGGGAUAACUUCGGGAAACCGGAGCUAAUACCGGAUAAUAUAUGGAACCGCAUGGUUCAAUAGUGAAAGACGGUUUUGCUGUCCCUUCUAGAUGGAUCCGCGCCGCAUUACCUAGUUGGUAAGGUAACGGCUUACCAAGGCAACGCUGGGUUGCCGGCCUGAGAGGCCAGCCGACCACACAGAAACUGAGACACAGGCCAGACACCUACAGGAUGCAGCAGGAGGGAACCUUCAGGAAGGGGCGCAAGCCUGACGGAGCAAGGCCGCGCCAGAGCUGAAGGUCUUCGGAUCUUAAAACUCUGUUAUUAGGGAAGAACAAAUGUGUAAGUAACUACGCACGUCUUGACGGUACCUAAGCAGAAAGCCACGGCUAACUACGUG